rnacentral:other from 1 species
UAAUCCCUGCGGUGUUUGUCAAGGCUUGUGUUCUUUGAACCAAUUCUUUGCACCUGGUUGCCAGUCAAUGGCUGCUGUUGUGCGCGCUCUCUUGCAGAGCGUGCCUGAUGCAACCGACGGGCGGCCACUCUUGAGCCUCAGGUUCAAGAUAACAGCCUGACGGCAUUUGCGGGGACCCU